rnacentral:rRNA from 1 species
CACGUAGGGCGCGAGCGUUGUCCGGAAUUAUUGGGCGUAAAGAGCUCGUAGGCGGCCUGUUGCGUCCGCUGUGAAAGCCCGGGGCUUAACCCCGGGUCUGCAGUGGAUACGGGCAGGCUAGAGGUAGGUAGGGGAGAAUGGAAUUCCCGGUGUAGCGGUGAAAUGCGCAGAUAUCGGGAGGAACACCGGUGGCGAAGGCGGUUCUCUGGACCGAUACUGACGCUCAUGCACGAAAGCGUGGGGAGCAAACAGG